rnacentral:rRNA from 1 species
AACGAACGCUGGCGGCGUGCCUAAUACAUGCAAGUUGAGCGCUGAAGGUUGGUACUUGUACCAACUGGAUGAGCAGCGAACGGGUGAGUAACGCGUGGGGAAUCUGCCUUUGAGCGGGGGACAACAUUUGGAAACGAAUGCUAAUACCGCAUAAAAACUUUAAACACAAGUUUUAAGUUUGAAAGAUGCAAUUGCAUCACUCAAAGAUGAUCCCGCGUUGUAUUAGCUAGUUGGUGAGGUAAAGGCUCACCAAGGCGAUGAUACAUAGCCGACCUGAGAGGGUGAUCGGCCACAUUGGGACUGAGACACGGCCCAAACGCCUACGGGAGGCAGCAGUAGGGAAUCUUCGGCAAUGGACGAAAGUCUGACCGAGCAACGCCGCGGGAGUGAAGAAGGUUUUCGGAUCGUAAAACUCUGUUGGUAGAGAAGAACGUUGGUGAGAGUGGAAAGCUCAUCAAGUGACGGUAACUACCCAGAAAGGGACGGCUAACUACGUG